GGAUAUAUAAUGUAUUUCUUUUCACUCUGGCUUGUGUACUUGCAUCCAAACUUGGGCGGGCGAGAAUGUAGGCCACGAGCGAGCCCUGUUUGUUUGUUUGUUUGCAGGAAUGUGUUGGUGAUGCAGAAACAAUCCCGACCUUCUCCAAAGCCUCCCUCUCCCAUUAGCCUGUCGAGUACACGAGGACGCAUCAUGCACUCAAGAGUCUGCGUGCGCUCUUCGACAUGCGUGUGUGCGAGUGCGUGCGAGGGCGGCGAGCAGGUGGGGGGAGGCGGAGGGAGGUAGGAGAGCGCCCGGCCGGCCAGUCUCGCUCGACCCUCCGAAGUGGAAGGAUCACGCACGGUUCUCUCUCGCCCUUUAAGCCUAGUGUCGAGGCUCCCCGUAGCGCCUGGGCCACCUGGGGGCUGUGCAGUGUGUUUUUUGUCCCCCCUCGUGCCCGUUACCCCCCUAACUGAGGCGCUUCCGGUCUUUAUUAAGCGAUAACGCGAAAAAACGUUAUUACCUAGCGACUGCGGCCCACAAACGUUUUUCACGGUUGACUGGUUUUCUGAUAAUGUUUUUCGCGCAUGAAAUCAACUAAAAAAAAAAGAGGCUCGCAUAAGUCGGACAGUGAAAGGCAAUUAGAUACCAUUAAAAGGACUUACUUCUCGGUCGCCGAAAUAUUGGCAAAAGGAAAUGGACCAUAAAACCCUCAUUUUGUUCUUUCAGGUUUGUUAACUCUCGCUAAAUUGAAAGGCAUUGGUUUAGAUAUUGCGUGCCCGAGGAGGCGGUGUUGUGGGGGAGUGGCGGGAGUGCAGUGUUGCGAGCGGCCAUCACCUGCGACUCACCUGUCACAUUAGAGCUCCUGAGUGCCGGCGCCGCCCCGCCCCGCCAGGUGUGACAGGAAGGAAUAAUUGCACUGCAGCACCUGCCGUAGUGAGGUAAUGGCGUCGUGAACCCCAAGACGAGAGGCGGCGCGGGAGCCAAGGCGAACCGGAUCGAGGGGAAGGCGGCAGUGACGUCACGCGGCAGGUCAAGAGAGGGCCCCGCCAUGCCCCGCCUUGCCCCGCCCCGCUAAGAUGUCGACUCCCCAGCAGCAUGGCCAGCAGCAAAGGGACGCCGCACUGAGAGCCUCGCACGCCCCUUCCUUCUACUCAUCCCCUGCCCAUCGAACCGCACAGACCUGAGCCUUUGCCUCCCUCAUUACCUCCAGCCGCCCCCCGCGCCUACAUGUCGGAGGGCUGAGGGCAGGCGGAGGGCGGAGGCGAGGGCGUGAUGGUGGUAUGACCCCGUGGGCGUGGGCGUGGCUGGUGGUGUUGGCCGCCACAUGGCAGGGCGCGCAGGCUGCAGCUCCGAAGAAGACUCGCCUGGUCACCACAAAGUACGGCCAGGUGCAGGGGCUCAUCAGGCACCUGGGCCAACAUCUCGGUGACGUGGAGGUGUUCAUGGGUGUUCCGUAUGCGGCUCCUCCCUUGGAAGAGGGGCGCUUCACCCCCACCAACACCCCAACGCCCUGGGAGGGGGUGUUGGAUUCAACUUCCCCGCCGCCGGUGUGUCCCCAGCUGCUGCCGGAUCCUGACGAGGCCAACAUGCCGCGGGCCAGGGCGGACUUCAUUAGGAAGGUGUCGGCGGCGCUGGCCAAUCAGAGUGAGGACUGCCUCACCGUCAACAUCUACAGCCCCAUCAUGGUGAUCCCCGGCUCGGAGGUGUACCCGGUGAUGGUGUACGUACACGGCGAGAGCUUCAGCUGGGGCGCCGGCUCGCUCUUCGACGGGUCUGUCCUCGCUGCCUACGCGAGAGUCGUGGUCAUCACCCUCAACUACCGCCUCGGGCCUCUAGGAUUCCUCAACACCUACGGCGGCGGCGGAGGCGGCGUGGUGAGCAACUUCGCCCUGAUGGACCAGAUCACUGCUCUCAACUGGGUGGCGGAGAACAUCAAGCAGUUCAACGGUGACGAGGCGAGGGUGACACUCUUCGGGCGGGACACCGGCGCCGCGUGCAUCUCCUACCUCAUGGAGAGUCCCAUCGUGCCACAAGGGCUGUUUCACCGUGUGGUGAUGGUGUCGGGGUGGUCGGGGUGCCCGUGGUCCAGGGUCGCUGCGCCCCUCAGCGUCACCCUCAGGCUGGCCGUGGCCGCCGGGUGUCCGGUGCCAGACGACCCCAACGCCGCCCAUCCCAGGACGGUGUCGUGCCUCCGCGACGCUCCCCUCCAGGACCUCAUGACCGCCGCCAGGCAAGUAGAGUCUCCAGCCUUCAUGCCGGCGUGGGGCCCAAGCGAGGACGGCGUGGUGGUGGCGGGGGCGAGGCGCGGGUCGUCGCUGGGGCGCCAACAUGACGUGCAGGUGAUGCUAGGGUUCACGCCCUGGGAGGCUUGGUCUUGGCUGGGGGAGAGUCUGGUGGGCCAGGGCGUGGACGAUAGAGCCUUUGAGCGUGUGGCGAGAACGUGGGUGAGGAACACACGCCGCCACCAUCUGCGGGAGGUGUUGGCAGCCACGCUGCAGGAGUACACGGAUUGGACGGCGAUCAAACAGGGGCCGGAGGUGCGCCGGAACCUUCUUCUCCACCUGCUGGGCGACGCAGGGGUGGUGGCGCCCCUACACCAGGCGGCCGACGCCCUUGCACACCACACCAAAGUCUUCGUUUUCAUCUGUGACCUCGAGAGCCAACUCUCCGGCGAGCUCCAGGUGCCGGGCUGGGAGCUGGGGCUGAUCUGGGGCACCGGCAUGAGUGACGUCACCUCAUCUCCCGGCGCACCGUCGCCUCCCAUCCGGCCACCGGUGUUGAUGCAGCUUUCAGAAGACGUCAUCACUCUUCUCACCAACUUCGCCAAGUCGGGGGAUCCCAAUCUUCCCAGGGAGUCUCCUUCGCCGGGCUUUGCCGCCGUGGCGUGGCCGCGCUACAUGCCAGACACGCGGCAGUACCUCAAGAUAGGUGUGCCGCCCACGGUGGGCUCUCAGUACCGCGCCCACCAGCUGGCCCUCUGGACGUGGCUGGUGCCGGAGCUGGAGGCGGCGGGGAAGUCGUACCCGCCGGACCCCAAGUCGUGGGAGCUGAGCACCGACCCGCACCUCUUCUACGGUGUCGUCAAGCCCCCCGACCCCUGGUACUUCAUGCAGCCCAACACUACCGCUACCACUGCCGCCGCCGCUGCCGCCGCUGCUGCCGCUGCCGCCCAUGAAACUACCACCCCGACCCUGUCAGUGACCCCCUCCCCCCAGGCCACCACGCCGCGGGUCACCACCACUCUUGCACUAUCGCCGACAAUCGCCAGCAGCGGCCCCAAGAUGCCUCUCCCCGACGUCAGCGAGUACGUGCGAUACUCCACGGCGCUGCUGGUGACGGUGGGGCUGGGGGUCUCCCUCCUGCUGCUGAACGGCCUUAUCUUCCUGCUGCUGUUCUGGCGGCGGCCCUCGCAGCACCCUCCCUGCCAGGGGCAUCACCUUCACGCUCAGGAGGGGGCUGAGAUCCCUCGGGUGGGCUCUGUCAUGAGCCUGGGAGGGCUGGGCGGCACCUACGGCGGCCCGCCCGACUGCGUGAAGGCGUCCUACGAGAAGCUUCACUUGACUUCGGACGAGCUGCAACACCUCACAAGCAGGUCCCCGUCGAGUACCCUAAAGAGACCCAAGUCCCCAGGAGCCCUCAAGUCACAAGGCUCCUUCAGGGCUCCCACGGGCGUUGCCACCAUCAGUAGGUCUCCCAGGGGCGCCAACAGGGAGACGUCCUUCACCAUAGAGCCUCCGACGCUACUGAGGGAGGGCGGCGCCGACUCCCGCCCGCCGCGCACCCAAUCCGUUGCGACGAUUGACCAAGCCAGCCAGGAGGAGGCGCAGCGGGCGUGGACGGUGGUGAGGGACCUUCCGCCGGGUGAGGUGGUGUGCGCGGCGGACCCUGGGUGCGGCAUGCCGGGCGGGGGCGGCGACGGGCGGCCUAACGGGUGGGCGACCUUCGUUGGGGAUGUGCCCGAGCCGCCGCCGCCGCCCAGGACCUCCACCCUCAGGAAGGAGAAAAAGGUCACCAUCCUCGAACAGGCCGUCCAGAGGUUAUGAUAAAGCCCCGCCCAGCCCCGCCCACCCCAGCCCCGUGCCACCCUUCACCCAUUCCAUCACGACCCCGACCCUGCAGCCCUGCACCGCACUGCCCCGCCACGCCCCACACCACUCCCUCCACCCGUCCCUGCCACCACUUCUCCACUCCUCCACCGCCACUCCAACAGCACCGCUCACGCCCUAAUUCUCACACUUACUGCCAUCCACUCCGCCUCAACUUUCCUCCUUCCACCCCGGCAUCUCUGCGUUCAUUUUUCUCUGUCUUCAUUCCUCACCUCUCAACAUUACUCUUUAUUUCCUCACUUUCCGUUAAUCUCACACUUUCCGUCUCUUGAAAGUUUUUGGUCUCAUUCUUUUUCUGGCUUUCUCUCUCUCGUUACUCUCUCCAUCUUUCUUUAGUUUAGUGAGUCAUUAGGUCCGUCUCUUUCCUCCGCUGCCUCUAAUCUCUUGCGCUAACUUCAUCAUUAGAAGAAUAAACGAUUUUUUGUUAUGCUGUUCCUUCACAACCAACCUCACAAUCUUCUGUACAUUUCCUACAAUCAAAAACUUUAAACUUUUACCGUCUUGAGGUGUGGUGAAGGGUGUUCCUAAAUUACAUCACGCCACACAAAUUCAAUAUAUACUUUUUUGUGUCUAUAUAUCCUACCUCUUCUUCCCCCCUUUUCCUUAACACGUAGACAAUUUUUUACCCAUACUGAACGCCCUAGUCCCCCUUUCCUCUCCUUCCACCGCCACCAUCUUCCCCUUAUCCUCAUCCAGUAUUCUUACCUCACCUCGUCACACCAAUAUUUCCCUGUCAUUCUUACCCUCACCCAAUUGUUACUGCCCUUCCCCCACUCACCCCUCACACCCUCAUCGCCCACACGACAUCCUUCAACUUCACCAAACAUUCACCCAAGUCCCCAAAUACAACAAUUCACCAUCUUUCUCCCCGAACAACAUCUCCUUCAUCCUCUUUUCUCACUUUUCCAUUUUUAUUAUUUGCUCCCUCCUCUUCCUCCCCCUCCCCUUCCUCCCCCUUCGUCGCCCCCUCCUCGCCGUUCCUCGUCACCACGCACUCUCCUGACCUCGGCCGAGACUCUCCCUUUGUCCUCUCGCUGACAAGCGUUAAUAUGGUCAAAAAGAAAACUCAAGGAAAACCUCAACAUUCGCCCACCUCGCGAAAAGGAAAAACUCAUUACGUCGCCAGAGCUGAACAUGACCUAUUCUUCUCUUUCUAUCGCCACCAGUGUUGUGAGAUUACUAUGGCCCCCCUCCUUGCUCUCCUGACUGUUGAACACGUGUAAAUGUCCCAAGGUCUCUCGGUUACAAAGUGAGGAUCAGUUGUACGUCAUGUUUGCGCGGAGACCAAGCCGAGACGAGGCACGCGAAGGACAGGACGCCGGAUGGCCGCGGGAGAGAUAUGAGUGAUGGGAGAAAUUUGUGAGAAGCCUUCGAGAUUGGUCCAUCAAGGCUGAAGAGAGGGACGUGUGUGAUGUGUGACUCAAGUGACGCAGCGGCUGAUUGAGGAACGGAAGGCAAACGGCGCACUGAUGAAAUCCAUGCCGGGAAAACGGAAAAUAACGGAGAAAAAUAACGGUGACUGGAGAAAAAAUACAUAUUGAAAACCUUUCGGAAAAAGGGAAACAAAACAAAACAACGCCUGGAUAUCCUAACAACUUUGGAAUUGUGUUUCGACGAACAGGAAGAAAGAAAAACGUGGUGAAAUCCGAUGAUGAGACGCUGAAUCAAGUUUUCCCGAUGGAGAAAGUUUUGAGUGCCAUCCGCAGAACAGGUGAAGCAGGAAAAAAACAAGUGAAACAGAGGAACACCAUUCAGAUAAAAGAAAACACCCACCCGUGUGCCCCACGUGUGCCGAAAGUGUCAUAAAAAAGAAAAACAAAAUAUAAAGGAUGGGGAGAAGAGGAAAACUCCGCCGAGUGUUGGAGUAAAAUCGGUUUUGCUCGGUGCAGUCCGUCUCUACCACUAUUUUGUAACCCGGUUCUGUUAUCAUGUUCGUUGAGUAAAGUAAGAGUUAUA